rnacentral:rRNA from 1 species
GAUGAACGCUGGCGGCGUGCCUAAUACAUGCAAGUCGAGCGAACGGACGAGAAGCUUGCUUCUCUGAUGUUAGCGGCGGACGGGUGAGUAACACGUGGAUAACCUACCUAUAAGACUGGGAUAACUUCGGGAAACCGUAGCUAAUACCGGAUAAUAUUUUGAACCGCAUGGUUCAAAAGUGAAAGACGGUUUUGCUGUCACUUAUAGAUGGAUCCGCGCCGCAUUAGCUAGUUGGUAAGGUAACGGCUUACCAAGGCAACGAUGCAUAGCCGACCUGAGAGGGUGAUCGGCCACACUGGAACUGAGACACGGUCCAGACUCCUACGGGAGGCAGCAGUAGGGAAUCUUCCGCAAUGGGCGAAAGCCUGACGGAGCAACGCCGCGUGAGUGAUGAAGGUCUUCGGAUCGUAAAACUCUGUUAUUAGGGAAGAACAUAUGUGUAAGUAACUGUGCACAUCUUGACGGUACCUAAUCAGAAAGCCACGGCUAACUACGUG